CCUACGGGUGGCAGCAGUGGGGGAUAUUGGACAAUGGGGGGAACCCUGAUCCAGCGACGCCGCGUGAGUGAAGAAGUAUCUCGGUAUGUAAAGCUCUAUCAGCAGGGAAGAAGAAAUGACUGUACCUGAGUACGCAUCCCCGGCUUACCACGUGCCAGCAGCCGCGGUAAUACGUAGGGGGCAAGCGUUAUCCGGAAUUACUGGGUGUCAAGGGAGCGUAGACGGUGAUGUAAGUCUGGAGUGAAAGGCGGGGGCCCAACCACCGGACGGCUCUGGAGACUAUGUGACUGGAGUGCAGGAGAGGAGAGCGGAAUUCCUAGUGUAGCGGUGAAAUGCGUAGAGAUGAGGAGGAACACCAGUGGCGAAGGCGGCUCACUGGACUGUAACUGACGUUGAGGCUCGAAAGCGUGGGGAGCAAACAGGAUUAGAUACCCCUGUAGUC
rnacentral:rRNA from 1 species